GAUGAACGCUGGCGGCGUGCCUAAUACAUGCAAGUCGAGCGAACGGACGAGAAGCUUGCUUCUCUGAUGUUAGCGGCGGACGGGUGAGUAACACGUGGAUAACCUACCUAUAAGACUGGGAUAACUUCGGGAAACCGGAGCUAAUACCGGAUAAUAUUUUGAACCGCAUGGUUCAAAAGUGAAAGACGGUCUUGAUGUCACUUAUAGAUGGAUCCGCGCUGCAUUAGCUAGUUGGUAAGGUAACGGCUUACCAAGGCAACGAUGCAUAGCCGACCUGAGAGGGUGAUCGGCCACACUGGAACUGAGACACGGUCCAGACUCCUACGGGAGGCAGCAGUAGGGAAUCUUCCGCAAUGGGCGAAAGCCUGACGGAGCAACGCCGCGUGAGUGAUGAAGGUCUUCGGAUCGUAAAACUCUGUUAUUAGGGAAGAACAUAUGUGUAAGUAACUGUGCACAUCUUGACGGUACCUAAUCGGAAAGCCACGGCUAACUACGUG
rnacentral:rRNA from 1 species